UACAGAGGGCUCAAGCGUUGUUCGGAUUCAUUGGGCGUAAAGGGUGCGUAGGCGGCGCGGUAAGUCGGGUGUGAAAUCUCGGAGCUUAACUCCGAAACUGCAUUCGAUACUGCCGUGCUUGAGGACUGGAGAGGAGACUGGAAUUUACGGUGUAGCGGUGAAAUGCGUAGAUAUCGUAAGGAAGACCCGUGGCGAAGGCGGGUCUCUGGACAGGUCCUGACGCUGAGGCACGAAGGUCAGGGGAGCAAACGGG
rnacentral:rRNA from 1 species